rnacentral:rRNA from 1 species
UACGAAGGGGGCUAGCGUUGCUCGGAAUCACUGGGCGUAAAGCGCACGUAGGCGGCUUGCUAAGUCAGGGGUGAAAUCCUGGAGCUCAACUCCAGAACUGCCUUUGAUACUGGCGAGCUUGAGUCCGGGAGAGGUGAGUGGAACUGCGAGUGUAGAGGUGAAAUUCGUAGAUAUUCGCAAGAACACCAGUGGCGAAGGCGGCUCACUGGCCCGGUACUGACGCUGAGGUGCGAAAGCGUGGGGAGCAAACAGG